AGAAACUCAAAUUGACGUGGAUUUUUGUUAAAUAAAAAUAUGGUAAAAUAUGGUAAAAUAUCAGUUUUUUCUCACUAUCCCUUUAGUCUGAACACUGUGUGUUUGUGUUUGUAGAAAGGAAACACAGCUCUUCACUACGUCUGUCAGAGGAAAAGUCAUCGUCUGGUUCCUCUGCUGCUUCACAGAGACGCUGACACCAGCAUCCAAAACAAUGACGGGGAGACGGCGCUGGACGUCGCCAUCAGACUGAAGUUCACUAAAAUCGUCUCCCUGCUGAAGACGCAGUGAUGGACAGACAUGUGGACAGAGACAGAUUUCUAGGUUUGAUUUAAUAAAAAGCAAAAAAUAGUCAUGUGAUCUUACUGUAAACAAACAUUAGGCCCCGCCCACCACAUGACCUCCUGUGGCUAAUGCUAACAUAAGCAUCCUAACACUUAAGUAACAUUUAUGAUAAGAGGUCAGUGUCAUGUCAUUAAUGAGGGGGAGGGACCAAUGAUCACACCCCUUCACAAUAAAAGCGUAUAAAAUCAAA